AUGAAGUGCCUCCAACCCUCAAAAAAUGAACAGGGAAAAAAAUUAUGUUUUUUCCUUAAUUUUGUCACCAUAAAAUCAUCUUCUUGCUCUGAUACACCUGACAUUUCUUGCUUGAUUGUGGAACUACAGGAGGUGAUAUUGGAGGAAAGAAGGUCUCUCUGGGAGGCAGAAGGUGAUGCUGGAAAAGCAGGCCAAUUUAGAGCUUUAUGGAAAACAAGACUGAGGGAUGACUGCUGGCUUCCUUGUCUCCUCUGCAGAUUCCUGAAGUUACGUCUUCUAAAUACUCUUCCUGCUGAUCCAGUAAUAAGCUGGCCAAUGCAAUGCUAAGACCACCUUGGAACACCACCUCCCGGUGUGAAUGUGGGAAGAGGCACUUGAAGGGGUUGCUGAUUCUGGGCUGAGGGUUUUCCACUUGGAAUCCUGGUUCCAAGUUAUAGUCCCAUUAGAAGGAUCCCCAAGGAGUAGACAAAUGUGCUCUAGUAUCCAGUCACCUGUUGGCAGACUCCAAAUAAAAGUGAAACAAGGAGCCUUCAGAAUAACCGAGUUUAUGGUAGUUGGCUGGAAUAGAGUUUGAAAAAAUAAAUAUCGCCUUCUUCCUUGGAAUGUGCAAUUCCUGUGUGCCAGUUGAUGAGACUGAAGAAAUUCUUGUAUGUGAAACAUUCCUAUGCUGAAAUCUCGGUGGUAAAUCAAGAGGAUGUGUUUGUGGAGACUAAAAUCUGCAGUUAUUUGCAGGGACUAAUGGGACCAGGAUAGAUAAGUUUAGUAGAAAACUUGAUUAAAACACUAAAGGCUUUUCUUCUGUGGAUUUAAACAUAUUCAACUAAUUUAUUGAGGAUAUUACUUUAUAAAACCUUUAAAAAUUAUAUAGUUCGUUUGACUUAGCAACAAUGAGUCUCUCAAGAGAAAAGGGGGAUGAAAUGAAAUCAAACUUGGCUGAGGCUGAGAAGUCUUCCUUUAGUACUUUAGACUUACCUAUGUCCUUUUUUUUUUUUCUUAAUAGUAUAGAGUGGCAUAAAUCUUAUCUCCUUAUGGUAGUUCUUGCAUAUGCUGUUUGGUAGUAGUAAAAUUAAUGUAUAGUAAAAAAGAUAAGGUUUCUGAAUAUUGAAUGAGCCAAACUCGAUGUACUUUUAAAAUUUGGCUCAGGGUAGGGCCAGGAAGAUUUUAAAAUUCAGCAGUAGUUGCUAUUCAGAAGGUUGUUCUAGUACCAUUGCCAGUAAAAACUCAAAGUGAAAGGUCUAAUGUAUCACACAUUGGAUUUGAAAAACUAUGUUCAGGGUAACAAGGCAAUUCUGGCUCUCUCUCUCUCUGUCUCUCUGUCUGUCUCUCUCACACACACAACACACAUACUUCAGAAGUGUCCCAAAUUGCUGUCGACUGUGCUGAUGUCCUGAGCAAACAGGGUGAGCACAGGCAGGAACGUCUUUACAUCCCCAUUUUUGCCUUUGCAAACACACAUAAAAAAAUAAUUAAAAUGAUUAAUUCAUGC
rnacentral:lncRNA from 1 species